CUGCGAAACGCCCGCGAAAGCGGGCGUCUAUCCGGCGUGGUGGCCGGGUACUGACGAGCAGCCAACC
rnacentral:hammerhead_ribozyme from 1 species